UUCCUACGGGAGGCAGCAGUGGGGAAUUUUGGACAAUGGGCGCAAGCCUGAUCCAGCCAUGCCGCGUGCAGGAUGAAGGCCUUCGGGUUGUAAACUGCUUUUGUACGGAACGAAAAGACUCUGGUUAAUACCUGGGGUCCAUGACGGUACCGUAAGAAUAAGCACCGGCUAACUACGUGCCAGCAGCCGCGGUAAUACGUAGGGUGCGAGCGUUAAUCGGAAUUACUGGGCGUAAAGCGUGCGCAGGCGGUUAUGUAAGACAGAUGUGAAAUCCCCGGGCUCAACCUGGGAACUGCAUUUGUGACUGCAUAGCUAGAGUACGGCAGAGGGGGAUGGAAUUCCGCGUGUAGCAGUGAAAUGCGUAGAUAUGCGGAGGAACACCGAUGGCGAAGGCAAUCCCCUGGGCCUGUACUGACGCUCAUGCACGAAAGCGUGGGGAGCAAACAGGAUUAGAUACCCUGGUAGUCCA
rnacentral:rRNA from 1 species